GGGCAGUGGCGGGCGUCUUACACAUGCAAGUCGAACGAUGAACCUCCUUCGGGAGGGGAUUAGUGGCGAACGGGUGAGUAACACGUGGGCAAUCUGCCCUUCACUCUGGGACAAGCCCUGGAAACGGGGUCUAAUACCGGAUACCACUCUCGCAGGCAUCUGUGAGGGUUGAAAGCUCCGGCGGUGAAGGAUGAGCCCGCGGCCUAUCAGCUUGUUGGUGAGGUAACGGCUCACCAAGGCGACGACGGGUAGCCGGCCUGAGAGGGCGACCGGCCACACUGGGACUGAGACACGGCCCAGACUCCUACGGGAGGCAGCAGUGGGGAAUAUUGCACAAUGGGCGAAAGCCUGAUGCAGCGACGCCGCGUGAGGGAUGACGGCCUUCGGGUUGUAAACCUCUUUCAGCAGGGAAGAAGCGAAAGUGACGGUACCUGCAGAAGAAGCGCCGGCUAACUACGUGCCAGCAGCCGCGGUAAUACGUAGGGCGCAAGCGUUGUCCGGAAUUAUUGGGCGUAAAGAGCUCGUAGGCGGCUUGUCACGUCGGGUGUGAAAGCCCGGGGCUUAACCCCGGGUCUGCAUUCGAUACGGGCUAGCUAGAGUGUGGUAGGGGAGAUCGGAAUUCCUGGUGUAGCGGUGAAAUGCGCAGAUAUCAGGAGGAACACCGGUGGCGAAGGCGGAUCUCUGGGCCAUUACUGACGCUGAGGAGCGAAAGCGUGGGGAGCGAACAGGAUUAGAUACCCUGGUAGUCCACGCCGUAAACGGUGGGAACUAGGUGUUGGCGACAUUCCACGUCGUCGGUGCCGCAGCUAACGCAUUAAGUUCCCCGCCUGGGGAGUACGGCCGCAAGGCUAAAACUCAAAGGAAUUGACGGGGGCCCGCACAAGCAGCGGAGCAUGUGGCUUAAUUCGACGCAACGCGAAGAACCUUACCAAGGCUUGACAUACACCGGAAAGCAUUAGAGACAGGGGCCCCCUUGUGGUCGGUGUACAGGUGGUGCAUGGCUGUCGUCAGCUCGUGUCGUGAGAUGUUGGGUUAAGUCCCGCAACGAGCGCAACCCUUGUUCUGUGUUGCCAGCAUGCCCUUCGGGGUGAUGGGGACUCACAGGAGACCGCCGGGGUCAACUCGGAGGAAGGUGGGGACGACGUCAAGUCAUCAUGCCCCUUAUGUCUUGGGCUGCACACGUGCUACAAUGGCCGGUACAAAGAGCUGCGAUACCGUAAGGUGGAGCGAAUCUCAAAAAGCCGGUCUCAGUUCGGAUUGGGGUCUGCAACUCGACCCCAUGAAGUCGGAGUUGCUAGUAAUCGCAGAUCAGCAUUGCUGCGGUGAAUACGUUCCCGGGCCUUGUACACACCGCCCGUCACGUCACGAAAGUUGGUAACACCCGAAGCCGGUGGCCCAACCCCUUGUGGGAGGGAGCUGUCGAAGGUGAAUCGCUU
rnacentral:rRNA from 1 species